UCUAUUUAUUACAGCGUGGACACACAUGAACUACCACUGAGCUUAAAAACCAGCAUGACCAGCACUUCAGCGGCCCACCACCGCUCUCAGUCACUGCACUGUUUUUCCUCCCAGGUGACCACCCCCGUGAAUUUAACCCCACAGGCUAAUUCUGCCUAUUUCAGAACUUAAUGCAAAUGGAAUCAUAGGGAAAAGCCACCGAGCGGGCUGCUAAGCCUCCUGCAUUGUGUUCCUCCUGGUUAAGACAGCCCUGAUAUUUUGGAAUUCCUGGUAUAUUUUGACAAAUGCAUUGAGACCAGCCCUGUCCAGUUGGAGCUGUGCAGACCAAACGCAUCAAUGUAGAGGUAACUAAGAUUAAAUGGGGCCAUUAGGAUGGGCCUUAAUCCAAUAUGACCAAUGUCCUUAUAAGGAAAGGAACUUUGCGUGUGGAGGGAAGACACUCUGAAGACGCAGGGAGAAGAUGGCCACCUACAAGCCAAGGAGAGAGAUCUCAGAAAGAACCAACCCACCUGACACCUUGAUCUUGGACUUCUGGCCUCCAGAAAUGUUCUUCUCAACAAAAGGGCUUGAAAAAUUCUAAGUUUGCAUCAAGUUCACAUAAGCAAGAAGAACAAUUGGCUAAACUCUUUGAUGACAUUCUCCUGCAAGUGUAUCCCAGUGUUCCGUCUGAUGAGGCAAGAAAAGCAGAAAAAUCAUUUACAAAGAGUG